rnacentral:rRNA from 1 species
UACGGAGGCAGCAGUGGGGAAUAUUGCACAAUGGGCGAAAGCCUGAUGCAGCUAUGCCGCGUGUAUGAAGAAGGCCUUAGGGUUGUAAAGUACUUUCAUCGGGGAGGAAAAAACAAAACUAAUAAUUUUAUUUCUUGACGUUACCCGAAAAAGAAGCACCGGCUAACUCCGUGCCAGCAGCCGCGGUAAUACGGAGGGUGCUAGCGUUAAUCAGAAUUACUGGGCGUAAAGAGCACGUAGGUGGUUUUUUAAGUCAGAUUGUGAAAUCCCUGGGCUUAACCUGGAACUGCAUUUUGAAACUGAAAUACUAGAGUAUCGUAGAGGGAGGUAGAAUUCUAGGUGUAGCGGUGAAAUGCGUAGAUAUCUGGAGGAAUACCUGUGGCGAAAGCGGCCUCCUAAACGAAUACUGACACUGAGGUGCGAAAGCGUGGGGAGCGAAACAGGGAUUAGAUACCCGU